AUUGAACGCUGGCGGCAGGCCUAACACAUGCAAGUCGAGCGGAUGAAGGGAGCUUGCUCCUGGAUUCAGCGGCGGACGGGUGAGUAAUGCCUAGGAAUCUGCCUGGUAGUGGGGGAUAACGUCCGGAAACGGGCGCUAAUACCGCAUACGUCCUGAGGGAGAAAGUGGGGGAUCUUCGGACCUCACGCUAUCAGAUGAGCCUAGGUCGGAUUAGCUAGUUGGUGGGGUAAAGGCCUACCAAGGCGACGAUCCGUAACUGGUCUGAGAGGAUGAUCAGUCACACUGGAACUGAGACACGGUCCAGACUCCUACGGGAGGCAGCAGUUGGGAAUAUUGGACAAUGGGCGGAAGCCUGAUCCAGCCAUGCCGCGUGUGUGAAGAAGGUCUUCGGAUUGUAAAGCACUUUAAGUUGGGAGGAAGGGCAGUAAGUUAAUACCUUGCUGUUUUGACGUUACCAACAGAAUAAGCACCGGCUAACUUCGUG
rnacentral:rRNA from 1 species